UACGUAGGGUGCAAGCGUUAUCCGGAAUUAUUGGGCGUAAAGCGUGCGCAGGCGGUUUUGUAAGUCUGUCGUGAAAGCCCCGGGCUCAACCUGGGAAUUGCGUUGGAGACUGCAAGGCUAGAAUCUGGCAGAGGGGGGUAGAAUUCCACGUGUAGCAGUGAAAUGCGUAGAGAUGUGGAGGAACACCGAUGGCGAAGGCAGCCCCCUGGGUCAAGAUUGACGCUCAUGCACGAAAGCGUGGGGAGCAAACAGG
rnacentral:rRNA from 1 species